AACGAACGCUGGCGGCAUGCCUAACACAUGCCAGUCGAACGAGACCUUCGGGUCUAGUGGCGCACGGGUGCGUAACGCAUGGGAACCUGCCCUUAGGUUCGGAAUAACUCCCCGAAAGGGGUGCUAAUACCGGAUAAUGUCUUCGGACCAAAGGUUUAUCGCCUUUGGAUGGGCCCGCGUUGGAUUAGCUAGUUGGUAGGGUAAAAGCCUACCAAGGCGACGAUCCAUAGCUGGUCUGAGAGGAUGAUCAGCCACACUGGGACUGAGACACGGCCCAGACUCCUACGGGAGGCAGCAGUGGGGAAUAUUGGACAAUGGGCGAAAGCCUGAUCCAGCAAUGCCGCGUGAGUGAUGAAGGCCUUAGGGUUGUAAAGCUCUUUUACCCGGGAUGAUAAUGACAGUACCGGGAGAAUAAGCUCCGGCUAACUCCGUG
rnacentral:rRNA from 1 species